AUGAACGCUGGCGGCGUGCCUAAUACAUGCAAGUCGAGCGAACAGACGAGGAGCUUGCUCCUCUGACGUUCGCGGCGGACGGGUGAGUAACACGUGGAUAACCUACCUAUAAGACUGGGAUAACUUCGGGAAACCGGAGCUAAUAACGGAUAAUAUAUUGAACCGCAUGGUUCAAUAGUGAAAGACGGUUUUGCUGUCACUUAUAGAUGGAUCCGCGCCGCAUUAGCUAGUUGGUAAGGUAACGGCUUACCAAGGCGACGAUGCGUAGCCGACCUGCGAGGGUGAUCGGCCACUCUGGAACUGAAACACGGCCCAGACUCCUACGGGAGGCAGCGGUAGGGAAUCUUCCGCAAUGGGCGAAGGCCGGACGGAGCAACGCCGCGUGAGUGAUGAAGGUCUUCGGAUCGUAAAACUCUGUUAUUAGGGAAGAACAAAUGUGUAAGUAACUAUGCACGUCUUGACGGUACCUAAUCAGAAAGCCACGGCUAACUACGUG
rnacentral:rRNA from 1 species